AUACGGAGGAUGCAAGCGUUAUCCGGAUUUAUUGGGUUUAAAGGGUGCGUAGGCGGCGCGUUAAGCGUGAGGUGAAAGCUCGGGGCUCAACCCCGGAACUGCCUCGCGAACUGGCGUGCUGGAAUGCUCCUGCCGUGGGAGGAAUGUGUGGUGUAGCGGUGAAAUGCAUAGAGAUCACACAGAACACCGAUUGCGUAGGCAUCUCACGAAGGGGUUAUUGACGCUGAGGCACGAAAGCGUGGGGAUCAAACAGGAUUAGAUACCCUGGUAAUCCACGCAGUAAACGAUGAUAACUAACCGCUGGGGUGUAAAUUUCAGUGGCCAAGCGAAAGCGAUAAGUUAUCCACCUGGGGAGUACGACCGCAAGGUUGAAACUCAAAUGAAUUGACGGGG
rnacentral:rRNA from 1 species